CCUCCUAUGCUGCCGAGAAAAGUCUCUAGCGAGUGUUAAGGCGGCCCGUACCCCAAACCGACUCAGGUGAUCAGGUAGAGAAUACCAAGGCGAUCGGGUGAACUGUGGUUAAGGAACUCGGCAAAAUGCCCCCGUAACUUCGGGAGAAGGGGGGCCGCGUGACGUGUAGGGACUUGCUCCCGAAGCGCUGUGCAGCCGCAGAGACCAGGGGAAAGCGACUGUUUACUAAAAACACAGGUCCGUGCCAAGUCGCAAGACGAUGUAUACGGACUGACGCCUGCCCGGUGCUGGAACGUUAAGGGGACCGGUUAGAUCUUCGGAUCGAAGCUGAGAACUUAAGCGCCAGUAAACGGCGGUGGUAACUAUAACCAUCCUAAGGUAGCGAAAUUCCUUGUCGGGUAAGUUCCGACCUGCACGAAUGGCGUAACGACUUUCCCGCUGUCUCAACCACAGGCCCGGUGAAAUUGCACUACGAGUAAAGAUGCUCGUUACGCGCGGCAGGACGGAAAGACCCCGGGACCUUUACUAUAGCUUGAUAUUGGUGUUCUGUACGGCUUGUGUAGGAUAGGUGGGAGACUUUGAAGCGGGCACGCCAGUGUUCGUGGAGUCAUCGUUGAAAUACCACUCUGGUCGUUCUGGAUGUCUAACCUAGGUCCGUAAUCCGGAUCAGGGACAGUGUCUGGUGGGUAGUUUAACUGGGGCGGUUGCCUCCUAAAAUGUAACGGAGGCGCUCAAAGGUUCCCUCAGCCUGGUUGGCAAUCAGGUGUCGAGUGCAAGUGCACAAGGGAGCUUGACUGUGAGAGAGACAUCUCGAGCAGGGACGAAAGUCGGAACUAGUGAUCCGGCAGUGGCUUGUGGAAGCGCUGUCGCUCAACGGAUAAAAGGUACCCCGGGGAUAACAGGCUGAUCUUCCCCAAGAGUCCAUAUCGACGGGAUGGUUUGGCACCUCGAUGUCGGCUCGUCGCAUCCUGGGGCUGGAGUAGGUCCCAAGGGUUGGGCUGUUCGCCCAUUAAAGCGGUACGCGAGCUGGGUUUAGAACGUCGUGAGACAGUUCGGUCCCUAUCCGCCGUGCGCGUAAGAUACUUGAGAAGGGCUGUCCCUAGUACGAGAGGACCGGGACGGACGAACCUCUGGUGUGGCAGUUGUUCCGCCAGGAGCACCGCUGCUUAGCUACGUUCGGAACGGAUAACCGCUGAAAGCAUCUAAGCGGGAAGCCGGCUUCAAGAUGAGGUAUCUCACAGGGUUAACCUGGUAAGGCCCGCAGCUAGACUACUGCGUUGAUAGGCCGGAAGUGGAAGUGCGGUAACGCAUGCAGCUGACCGGUACUAAUAGGCCGAGGACUUGACC
rnacentral:rRNA from 1 species